rnacentral:rRNA from 1 species
UACAGAGGUCUCAAGCGUUGUUCGGAUUCAUUGGGCGUAAAGGGUGCGUAGGUGGCGCCGUAAGUCGGGUGUGAAAUUUCGGAGCUUAACUCCGAAACUGCAUUCGAUACUGCGGUGCUUGAGGACUGGAGAGGAGACUGGAAUUCAUGGUGUAGCAGUGAAAUGCGUAGAGAUCAUGAGGAAGACCAGUGGCGAAGGCGGGUCUCUGGACGGUUCCUGACACUGAGGCACGAAGGCCA